AGCUUGUUGGCUGCGUCACCAUCGCUGCCUGGAUUGGUCACAGGAGGCCCUGGAGAAGGAGUGGCCUGAGGUCAAGCCCUAAAGCACCAGAGCCUGGUCAUGAUGGACCAUAAGAGAGCACUCACCAUUUCACUGGCCGUUGACAAGAUGGGAAGUCCACUAAAAAUUCCCAAGAUCCUUCUUUCUUCAGAGUUGAGAUGUGGGAAUGAAGAGUCACAGAUUCACUGGACCCAGAUUGCUGGAAAUGGAAUCAAACUCCAAAAGUCUUGUCAGCAGAAUGGAUCCAUCUCUUUGGAUCACGGCCAAGCGGCUUUAGCCCAAGCGGCAAUGAACUGCACGCAGCUCCAGUUGGUCCUCACGGACGUCCUGAAGACGGAACAGGGGCAGGUCUACCUAGACAGGAAGAUGCGUGGCAAGAUGACAGGAACUGGAGAGAGGAAGAGAGAGUCACCGAUGGGGAGCGGGCAAAGGAGGGUGUCUCAGUGUAGCAGAGAGGGGAGGGAGGAUUGUAGAGAUUUUAUAGCACACACAAAGAGACCCCAUGACCACCCCACUCCCACCUUGACCCCGACCCGCAAGGAGAGGAGGUCACACCACAGAGGGGGGUCAGAGGAAGACGAGGAGGUGAAGGAACUUUUAAUAGGAGAGGAAAACAUCAAAGACCAGAGAUGCAACAGUAGUAUGUCAGGGAGGCAUAGUUCACAGGAACCCCUGGAGGAGGUGACCUUUACUGAGGGGGACAUGCACCAGGAAAAGACUUACCCACAAUCCACCAGGACUAGGAAGGCAGAUUCAGGUUCAAGCGAAUCCACACAUGUUGAGAGGGAGAGUUGGAGGAGGGAGUCUGGGCUCUACAGUAAUGGACAGGUGAAGGAUGGAGGGAUGAAUGAUGGAGUGGCAGAGGGCUUGACCACAGAUGCCUCCAGGAGCUCCAGAGGGAGCGUGCUACGCCUCUCCAGGGAGGCCAGAGGCGGGGGAGGACUGCCCCCCAAACAGCUGUGUCUGGGGGGGACGGGGGGCAUAGACACUAAUGUAGCAUCCAUAGAAGUAGAGGUGGACCCCUCAAACUUUGAUGGGACCCCGAUGGUAGUCACUGUGGGGGAAGACAGGGAAGUUGCCAGCUCCUCUAACCCCAGCUGUGGAGGGGUUAAGGAGAGGAGAGGAACCCUGUCCUCCAGCCAGGAUAGGACGCCCAACCUCAGUCCUGUUGAACCCAUCGUUCUCUCCAGUGAUGAGGAGGUAGUCACCCCGUCCCACAGUUCAGUCCUCUGGCCUCAGACUAGUGAGUGUGAGUCCCAGAGAAACCAUGCUCAGGAAGACAACGUGGUGGAAGAGACAGACUUUCAGGUGAUGCCUGCGGUGGUGACAGGGUCUGGGGUGGCCAGUUUCCCCAGCACCGAGGACUCUGAGGGUAUGGCCCUACCCUUCUCUGCCCUGCACUGUGGGGGGGUCCGAGGGGAGUCCAGCGGAAACCUCAUGAUCACAAACCACAGAAUCAUCAUACCAAUUAAAGGCCAGGUAGAUGUGAUGGUGACUGUGGAGCGCUGUCAGCUGUGGAAGUACAGCAUCUGGGACAGGGAGGAGCUACAGGAGAGAGGGCUGGGGUGUGAGGUCAAGAGAGAGAUGGGGCAGCCUCCCCCCGCCCUCCUCCUCUACGUGUCAGACGCCCAGGCAGUCGCCGUUCAAGAAGACCUGAGGGAGCUGUCAAUCAAACAGGCCUUAGAACCACCCACUGGCCAGGCCAGUCCCUUCCUCCUGCUGACUCUGCAUGCCCCUCUGGAGGGGGUGGAAGGGGCUCUACUUCGCUCCAUCCUCGACAUCAUCUGUCUCAACAACGUCGACGCUGCAUGUCUCUGGGGGAACGCUCCCAUCAACGAGGCGGUGGACCUCCACAGUCCCCUCCUGUCAUUGGAUGACAGUCUGGCGCUGAUCGGUAGAACCGGACUAGACCACCAGCUGCUCUCCCUACUGGGACAGAACAAUGCCGAGCCUGUCACAGAACCCGACCAGGACAGAGACACACCUGGGCCAAAUCUGGACACUGUGGGGGGAGAGUCACAGACACCACCGGAGACAGAGGUACAGGCAGAGGAGGAGGAGCAGAGGGAGGCAGAGAGCGUACCCCUCGCUGAGGAGAGUCCAGUCCAGCCCAGACCCGUGUACACAGUGUGUCACAGCAGAACCAGAGGCUCCUACUCUGUGUUCCUGGGCCCAAAGCCAGGCUCCAACUGGACCCGAUACAAGCACCAGGGCCCCACACGCAGGCAAGCUACACAACUCCCAUGA
rnacentral:lncRNA from 13 species